UCCGGUUUGACACCGGCAGUCCCGCUAGAGUGCGCGCCCCGAAGGGCGGUAGCAACUAGAGGCAGGGGUUUCGCUCGUUAGAGGACUUAACCCGACACUUCACAGCACGAGCUGACGACAGCCAUGCAGCACCUGUGCACGUUCCACCUUGCGGUGUCACACCCCUUUCGGGGUGCUAAUCCGUGCAUGUCAAGCCUUGGAUAAGGUUCUUCGCGUUGCUUCGAAUUGAGCCACAUGCUCCACCGCUUGUGUGAGCCCCCGUCAAUUCCUUUGAGUUUCAACCUUGCGGCCGUACUCCCCAGGCGGGGAACUUACUCCGUUAGGUGCGGCACCGGCGGUAACCCGCCGACACUUAGUUCCCAUCGUUUAGGGCGUGGACUAC
rnacentral:misc_RNA from 1 species